UACGGGGGGGGCAAGCGUUGUUCGGAAUUACUGGGCGUAAAGGGCUCGUAGGUGGCCAACUAAGUCAGACGUGAAAUCCCCGGGCUCAACCCGGGAACUGCGUCCGAUACUGGCAGGCUUGAAUCCGGGAGAGGGAUGUGGAAUUCCAGGUGUAGCGGUGAAAUGCGUAGAUAUCUGGAGGAACACCGGUGGCGAAGGCGGCAUCCUGGACCGGUAUUGACGCUGAGGCGCGAAAGCCAGGGGAGCAAACGGG
rnacentral:rRNA from 1 species